rnacentral:rRNA from 1 species
AACGUAGGUGGCGAGCGUUAUCCGGAUUUACUGGGCGUAAAGAGGGCGCAGGCGGCUUUUCAAGUCGGAUGUAAAAUCUCCCAGCUUAACUGGGAGGGAUCAUUCGAUACUGUUAAGCUAGAGUGCAACAAGGGGAGGCAGAAUUCCCGGUGUAGUGGUGAAAUGCGUAGAUAUCGGGAGGAAUACCAGUGGCGAAGGCGGCCUCCUAGGUUGUUACUGACGCUUAAGCCCGAAGGCGUGGGGAGCAAACAGGAUUAGAUACCCCCGUA